GCUAUACAUGCAGUCGAGCGGACAGAAGGGAGCUUGCUCCCGGAUGUUAGCGGCGGACGGGUGAGUAACACGUGGGUAACCUGCCUGUAAGACUGGGAUAACUCCGGGAAACCGGAGCUAAUACCGGAUAGUUCCUUGAACCGCAUGGUUCAAGGAUGAAAGACGGUUUCGGCUGUCACUUACAGAUGGACCCGCGGCGCAUUAGCUAGUUGGUGGGGUAAUGGCUCACCAAGGCAACGAUGCGUAGCCGACCUGAGAGGGUGAUCGGCCACACUGGGACUGAGACACGGCCCAGACUCCUACGGGAGGCAGCAGUAGGGAAUCUUCCGCAAUGGACGAAAGUCUGACGGAGCAACGCCGCGUGAGUGAUGAAGGUUUUCGGAUCGUAAAGCUCUGUUGUUAGGGAAGAACAAGUGCGAGAGUAACUGCUCGCACCUUGACGGUACCUAACCAGAAAGCCACGGCUAACUACGUGCCAGCAGCCGCGUAAUACGUAGGUGGCAAGCGUUGUCCGGAAUUAUUGGGCGU
rnacentral:rRNA from 1 species